UUAAAAGUCUAAUUUUAAAAUAGAAAAAGGCCUCCAAAUUAUUCGGGCCGGCCCUGAAUUUACUGGUAUAUGAACUUUGGUGAAAAUAUUUUAUAAAUUCUUAGAAAAAUAUAACUAAGAAUGCAAGAGAGAUUACAAUAAUAACAGUUGCAAUUACAAUUAUAAGUUUAAAAGAUAUAGAACUAUUUUUCACUAAACUAACGAAUACAAAAACAUUGACCGUUUAUGCAUACUGGUGUUCCACGAACUAGGAUGCAAGGAAAAAGACAAUCGAGGAACGAAGUACAUUUGGAAUCUGUGAUUCAAAACAAGAAUAAAAGAGUGUUAUUGAAAAUGCUUACUAUAUAAUUUAAGAAGAAAACACUUUUAAAUGGUGGAAAGAAAAAUUUACCACUAGCAUCAGUUGCAGUAAGAAAUAGAGAAAAUAAUAAAAUGCCUAUAGUACUAGUAUAAACAAACUUGAAAGCUUUAAUUAAUUUUUUCAUAUGUAUGUAACAAACAAAAACCAAUUCAAUUACUUUUUUUAUAGGAAAAUUGUGUCACUUUAUAUAGUAUAAAAAAGAAACAUAUUCUAUUUUCUUCAAUUAAAUAUUUAUAGCAUUUAUAAAAAUCGUAAGAUACCUUUUGAAAAUUAGAAUGGUUAUGAAAU
rnacentral:lncRNA from 1 species